rnacentral:misc_RNA from 1 species
GCAAGAUGAUGCAAAACUUUAAGUGAACAUAAAUACCAAGUAGAAGAUAGUACAACAGCCACAACAAGCAAAGCCACGCCAAAGACUAACAGCAAACUAGACAAAUCGAACACUUUUGGCUUAAUAGAAGUUUAUUUUAGAUAAUACAAUGUCUAGAACUAGUUAUGUAGUUUCUUUAAGUCAAUAGGAACAUCUCCCAUCGCCCUCCGUGAUCACAUCUUUGAAAGCACCACCGCUGGGAAUCAUAGGUAGAACGUGCUCCUGAUGAGGUACAAUCACAAGCAACAAGUAUGGCCCAGG